UGAGGAAUAUUGGUCAAUGGGCGGGAGCCUGAACCAGCCAAGCCGCGUGACGGAAGAAGGCGCUAAGCGUCGUAAACGUCUUUUGCCGGGGAACAAAGGCGCGGACGCGUCCGCGUGUGAGUGUACCCGGAGAAAAAGCAUCGGCUAACUCCGUGCCAGCAGCCGCGGUAAUACGGAGGAUGCGAGCGUUAUCCGGAUUUAUUGGGUUUAAAGGGUGCGUAGGCGGUCUGUUAAGUCAGCGGUAAAAGCCCGGGGCUCAACCCCGGCGAGCCGUUGAAACUGGCGGACUAGAGACGGUGAGAGGUAUGCGGAAUGCGCAGUGUAGCGGUGAAAUGCUUAGAUAUCAUGAAGAACUCCGAUCGCGAAGGCAAGUGCCCGGGGUGCAACUGACGCUGAGGCUCGAAGGUGCGGGUAUCGAACAGGAUUAGAUACC
rnacentral:rRNA from 1 species